CGUUCUCCUUCCUCGGAAUUCCCUAGUUCUACCACAAAAUCCAACUCUAACCCAUCCACAGGCACAAAGGUCAGCUUCGACCAGUAAAGCAGCACUAAAGCUACCUUUGUCAACAAUUCUAUCGACCAUUGGAUGGACCAAGGAAUCAACUUUUACCAAGUACUACAAGAAGCCAAUAAUUAAAGAUGGUCACUUUGCCAGGGCAAUCUUACCAUAAGUUGUGUAUAUGUCCUAACAAUAGGCAUAGGUUUCGUUUUCAUCUAUGUAUGUUUCUUUGGAUUUUGGUAUUAUAUACCUCUUUGUAUGUAUUACAUGCAAAAGUAUACCAUUGUUCUUGGAUUGGGUUACAUUAUAUGUUAACUAAAUACA